rnacentral:rRNA from 1 species
UACGAAGGGGGCUAGCGUUGCUCGGAAUCACUGGGCGUAAAGGGUGCGUAGGCGGGUCUUUAAGUCAGGGGUGAAAUCCUGGAGCUCAACUCCAGAACUGCCUUUGAUACUGAGGAUCUUGAGUUCGGGAGAGGUGAGUGGAACUGCGAGUGUAGAGGUGAAAUUCGUAGAUAUUCGCAAGAACACCAGUGGCGAAGGCGGCUCACUGGCCCGAUACUGACGCUGAGGAACGAAAGCCAGGGUAGCGAACGGG